rfam:Tupaia chinensis contig85481, whole genome shotgun sequence.
ACUCAACAGACGCUGGGUUUAGAAGUAUCACUGUAACAUACAGAGAUGAUUAGCAUGGCCCCUGUGCAAGGAUAACAAACAAAUUUAUGAAGCUUUCCAUAUUUUU